AUUGAACGCUGGCGGCAGGCUUAACACAUGCAAGUCGAGCGGGGUGAUGGUGCUUGCACUAUCACUUAGCGGCGGACGGGUGAGUAAUGCUAGGAAUCUGCCUAUUAGUGGGGGACAACAUCUCGAAAGGGAUGCUAAUACCGCAUACGUCCUACGGGAGAAAGCAGGGGAUCACUUGUGACCUUGCGCUAAUAGAUGAGCCUAAGUCGGAUUGGCUAGUUGGUGGGGUAAAGGCCUACCAAGGCGACGAUCUGUAGCGGGUCUGAGAGGAUGAUCCGCCACACUGGGACUGAGACACGGCCCAGAUUCCUACGGGAGGCAGCAGUGGGGAAUAUUGGACAAUGGGGGGAACCCUGAUCCAGCCAUGCCGCGUGUGUGAAGAAGGCCUUAUGGUUGUAAAGCACUUUAAGCGAGGAGGAGGCUCUUUUGGUUAAUACCCAAGAUGAGUGGACGUUACUCGCAGAAUAAGCACCGGCUAACUCUGUGCCAGCCGCCGCGGUAA
rnacentral:rRNA from 1 species